rnacentral:tRNA from 7 species
GGUUCCGUAGCUCAGCUGGAUAGAGCAACGCCCUUCUAAGGCGUGGGUCUUGCGUUCGAAUCGCAACGGAAUCACUA